rnacentral:rRNA from 1 species
CCUACGGGCGGCAGCAGUGGGGAAUAUUGCGCAAUGGGCGAAAGCCUGACGCAGCGACGCCGCGUGAGGGAUGAAGGUCUUCGGAUCGUAAACCUCUGUCAGCAGGGAAGAACGGUCACUGUGCUAAUCAGCAGUGAAUUGACGGUACCUGCAAAGGAAGCACCGUCUAACUCCGUGCCAGCAGCCGCGGUAAUACGGAGGGUGCGAGCGUUAAUCGGAAUUACUGGGCGUAAAGGGCGCGUAGGCGGUAUGUAAAGUCAAGGGUGAAAUCCCCGGGCUCAACGUGGGAACUGCCUUUUAAACUGGCAAACGAGAGUGUGUGAGCGGAUAGUGGAAUGCCAGGUGUAGGAGUGAAAUCCGUAGAGAUC